rnacentral:rRNA from 1 species
AACAUCGCCCUUUGAAAAAAUAAUUAUAAAGGGUACUGCCUGCCCAGUGAUAAAAAUUAAACGGCCGCGGUACUUUGACCGUGCAAAGGUAGCAUAAUCAUUUGUUCUUUAAUUGAGGACUAGUAUGAAAGGCAAAACGAAAGCUUAACUGUCUCCUUUUUAAAAAAUGAAAUUAAUAUUUUUGUGAAGAAGCAAAAAUAAUAAAGUAAGACGAGAAGACCCUGUCGAGCUUAAGAAAAUUUUUAUAAUAAAAUUUUUAAAAGAUAAACAAAUUCUACUACAAAAAUAAAAUAAAAAUAUCUUUGGUUGGGGCAACCACGAAGAAAAAAAAACCUUCGUUCAAAAAAAGAAAUUCACAAAUUUAAAAAUUAUAAAAAAUUUUAAAGAUCCAGAAAAUUCUGAUCAAAGAAAAAAGUUACCGCAGGGAUAACAGCGUUAUUCUCUUUAAGAGCUCUUAUUGACAAGAGAGUUUGCGACCUCGAUGUUGGACCGGGGCACCCAAGAGGUGUAGAAGCCUCUAAAGGUAGGUCUGUUCGACCUUUAAAGCCCUACGUGAU